AUUGAAAACUUACAAGUUCUCCUCAUUGUUUAUCAGAAGAUAGAAAUCAGCAACCCAGGAUAUUUUAAUGAGGACAUUUUUCAUUUUCCAAGACAGUUAUUUCCAUUCCAAGCUUACAGUCAGGUGUGUUAAGUCUGAAACAGCUUUGAUGUUGUUCCAAAAUCUCUGAAUGUUCCAGAUUUCACGUAGUGAUACAUUUUUGAAUUUAUUGGAAUAUUUGUUCUGAAUUUCUUUCUCUGUUUAACAUUAUUAACACAAAACUUGGGAUAUCAAGAAGUUAUCUGACAGCAAGAAAAAGGACAUUUGCUAGCCAUGAGGAAAAUUCUAGUGAUUUUGCUUUUUAGUUUUUAUUUCUGCCUUGGCAUGAAAACAUCAAAAAACUCCAAUAGGAAAUUGCUAAAAACCAAGCGUUGUAAGUAUACAUUUGUAGUCAAGGAGAUGGUAGAUGGCGGUCACUGUCCAAACCAAGUCCAAGAGUUUCCACAGGCAGACAAAAGAAUGGAGAGCUCCACCUUAGCAGCAGACUCUAAAAAUCCCUACAGUAUCAUAAAGAGCACCACCAACCAAAUACUGUCCGGGUCCACGUUUACACAGCUAGAGAAACGAUUGAAAGCCGUAGAGAGUAUGUUAGAAGACCAAACGUUAGAAAACACCAAUCUAAACCAGACAAUCAGUAAACAGGAAUUCAAACUCCAACAAUGUGAUAAAAUGAUGAAUGAUUAUCACAAAAACAUCACAAACAUGUUUCGUUUAAUGAACCACCUCCAGAGGUCAAUAAAUGGGCAGAAGCAGGGGUAUCGGGAGCUGGAGAAGAAGGUCUCCGGCAUUGUCCUGGAUGUGGUAGAAGUGAACAAUGUGCUUGAGAAGAAAGUGACGCAUUUGACAACACUGUCAGCAUGAAACGCAAAAACAUCCAGGUGGAAACCAUCUCUAAAGUGCUCAACUGUGGACAGACUAAUCCUGAGACCACUUUCAAAGACUGUCAGGAUGUCUUGGCUAGAGGUCACACCAUAAGUGCUGUGUACUACAUCACCACCACCUACUCAUCUUGUUCCAUCCCAGUCUGGUGCGACAUGGACACACCACCGGGGGGUUGGUUAGUUAUCCAGAACCGCUUCAAUGGUGAGGUGGACUUCAACAGACUCUGGGACGAGUACAGAGACGGCUUUGGCAAUAUUGCUUCAGAAUUUUGGUUGGGACUGGAUAACAUAUUCCUUCUGUCCAAUCAGGACUUCUAUGAACUUAGAUUUGAUCUUUGGGACUUUGAAGACAAUCGAGCGUUUGCUCUGUACAAGAAUUUUAAAUUAGAUGGAGCAAGAGACAGAUACAAGAUUCAUGCUACUGAUUUUGAAGGCAGUGCCAAGAAUGGUAUGCAAGUCCAUAAUGGCAUGCGCUUCUCCACCCCAGAUCAAGACAAUGAUAAAUGGUUGGAAUAUCACUGCGGUAAAGAAUGGCGGGCUGGGUGGUGGUUCAACAACUGUUGGCAUUCCAUUCUUAAUGGUCCAUAUUACAACCAAUCAAAAGUCCUAUCACGGGGAAUCUCCUGGAAUGACUGGAAGCCUGAACAACUCGCCAAAAGUCAGAUGAAAAUCCGACCCAGUCGCUUACAUAGAAGUGUGGAAUCAACCAAACAUGACCCGAAGGCAUCCAACUCAAAGAGACCCAGACAAAUGUUUCUGAGAUGGUUCAACGCAUUACAUAUACCUGUUUCUAGCAAGGAGGUUUAGUUUGACAUUUCACCAACUCUUCAUCUAUGAAUUGUAACAGGACAUUAAUUCCAAGUCCAUUUUGUCAAAAAUAACUGUUGCUAGUAUCACACAGUUCAUUAAAAAAUUAUAGUUUCAUUGAUUUAUGUAAGGUAAAAAGUAGAUUCAACAGAUUCAACAUUUGCAUGGGCAAGAGUCUUUGCAUUAAUUAUUACCCAUUUUAAUCAUGCAUAUGCAAUUAACACCUUAUUUAAUUUUGUAUUUGACAUUUUUCCAUUUGCAGCAGCAUUUUGUAAUUUCUAUGUAUGUAUUUUGAACUAUUUUAUAUUAAUAUUUAUAUAUUUGUGUAUACAUGUUAAAUUUAUUGUGAAGUUUCUGCCUGUACAUGUAAUAAAAAAAAUGAUUCUUGUUUCAA
rnacentral:misc_RNA from 1 species